rnacentral:lncRNA from 1 species
CGGCGAGCAAUUAAUCUCUAACCGGUGCGAAAUUGAACGUGGGGUUUGGGGGAAGUGGUAGAAGAGUUCGGGGGCUUCGGUAUGACGCGCGGGGUUUCGGAUUUGGAGUCGUGUGCGUGCAGAAAUCGGAGUGGAGGUGUGGGCGGACUCGGACUGUGCGUGGCCGGUUUUCUCGGGAGGCAGUUGAGGAAGAAGAUGACGCGCGGGUCCCACCAAUCAGUGAGAGGAACCGGGCGGUUCGGGCGGGGCCGGUCCGGUCCGGUUCGACCGGUUUUCUUCGGUUUUUCCUUUUCUUUUAUCUAUUUUUUGUUUUUGAACCUCAG